ACAAAGCUGUCAUUAUUGGUUUUAUGUGCUUCCUCAUUAUCAUCACAUUUGUUGUGGUGUUUGUGGUGAUCUAUAAGAUCUACAUGAAGAAGCGCAGAGAGUCCAGAGGUGGUGUGAAUGACGACAUGAUGCUUGAAUCAGCAAUCUACAUGAAUACACGACCUCCUGGACGGCGUCAUAAAGCAGCUCACUGAUGAAGGAAGGCCUGAUGGAGCUUCACAUCAAAUCACCAUUUACUCUCUAUGAUAAGUUUUGAAGUUAUUCAGCUUGCAGUAGAUAUUUUAUAACAUUUUAGAGACUAUUUGUAUUAGCCAAGAGCUCCAGUAUUGUACUCUAUUGAAAUAUUGUUUAACAAAGUAAAUUCUGUGGUAUCUUCAUCCCUUUGUUGCAUUUUGGAAUUUCAGUGAUUUUGAUGCUUCGGUGUGCAUAUUUUACCAUGUUAGAAAGUGUCAGUUUUCAU